ACCCGCACCAAUUAUUAUCAUAUGUGCCUUUAAUUUUCCUUUCUUCCUUGAUUCUCGACUGGUCUUACAUAAACUGCCUGCAGAGCACGAACGCAACGUUCCGGCUGCAGGCCGUGCCCGAUAGUUCCACGUCGUGGAUCGUAGUAAUUGGUCUCGCCUCACGGUAACCGAUAAGGGAAGUUCCUUGGACCCUGCGAACCGGCUUGAAUCUCGGAUUUCCCGCACACGGACCGAUUGGAAUCUCCGCCCUCUAUGCGGGUCAAGGUUCGCGUCUCUUUGAAGGCCGAGGAAGAAAUGUAUCUGGAGAGACGUUACAGCUAUCUGCGUUCCGUGCCGUGUGCACCUCUUCGUAAAUGUUGCGUGUGUAUGCAUGUGCAGGGGCCCCCUAAAAAUUUCCAGGUGGUGCUGCCAUAGAAAUACAUGGGACAGUGGCCUAGGAACUGUUACCGCCCCUGUAGGUGCAUUGUGAUCGUUUUGCGUCCGUAAACUUACAGUUUAUGCCUAGCGCCUGUCUUGUUUCUCAUCCUUUAAGGCAUAUCACCAACAAGCCCAAAUUUUUGCAUUAACUUAUUAAAGUGCGGAUAUUGGGAAACAGCUUGUGAGUGUCCUGAUGGGUGAAAUAUCUUGGUGACCUCUUCUAUUACGUGUGCACACUUCGGUUGAGUGAAUUUACUGUGUUGUGAACUAUUUCGUUGGGCGGACUUUUAUUUGUAUUGAAGCAGAGGGUUUAAGUGUGCGAUAAGUGUGGCUACUUAGAUAGUUUUGUGGUUGUCCUCUAUUUUUGUGGUAUUGUGGUUGUCCUCUGUAAUGCAGGAGAAGUAGCCGGUGCCGCACAUAAACUCAUAUUAAGUACAUUUAAUUAAUAAAGAAUUGUUCUGCACGGACACCAUUGCUGCCUAAAAUAAACCGUGAGAGAAAAAAAAAACACUGGCAUGGUUUCUCUGGGCAAAAAUUAAGUUAAUUCAACAACAACAAUCGUCCCUGAAAGAAGCACAAAACACAAGCACUGAUAUAAGAGACCACCAAAGCAUCGAUUGCUCUAUCAGCUCUACAGAAUCCGCCACCGGGGGUUUGUGCAGCAGAAUUGCUAAUGUUUUUUUUUUUCUGUGGUUUCCUAACUUUGAAUAUUUUAUCCAGUUAUUUUUUAUUAUCUGAUCGUGCAAAUACAUAUAAUUUGCUUUUGUGUUAAUAAAGUUUCAGUUGAAAUUCAGA